UGCAGGGAGACGGUCGUCCUGCCUCUCCAACUCCCAACCUGGAACACAGGCUCUGAGCUGAAAAGCAACCUGCUUCUCAGAUCCCCUUCAGAUCCUGCGGGCAUAAGGGUUAAACGAAGCUACAGACUCAUUCGCUGUUAUUGCUGCCGCUGCUGAGAAGCAGAGAUGGAUGAAGUCUCCUCUCUCCUCUCUGCCUCCCCAGCCUUCUUCGGUCUGGACGGGAGCAUAAUGAAUUUGGUGUCUCUGCACCCAUCCCCCGCCCCCGCCCCCGCCCUGCUCCCCUCAGGUGCAGCCCCAGAGUGCUUGCCCUCUGCUCAUGGUGGUCCAGCGGCUGAGGGGCAGUCCAGCAGAGGGGCGUGGAUGCUGUGCACCCUGAACUGGCAACAACGGUCAGGCUUCUCUGCUCAGAAGAAAUUGACGGAGAGCUUCCUCUCAAGGCUUGUGAAGACAAGGGCAGCAAAUGGGGCUUGCGAGGGGGUCACCAUGUGUUUAUUGUUGAAAAUCUUCCCAGACGCAAGAUGAUAAAUUCCAGCUGGGGACUGUCAGAUCUGCUCAGGAGCAUGGAGGAUUGUUUGCACCGAUGUUAAUUCCCCUGCAUUCUCCAGAGGCCAAAGAUGGUCAAAUCGCCCCUUGCCCUAACGUCCCCCAUAUCUUAGGAUCCUUAAAGUGCUGGGCUUUCUGAAGGUCACCUCUCCCACUCCCCUGUCUCCAAGCAAGCCCGCUCUCCAGUCAAUUCUCCUUAAGUGUCUUGGUUGUUUGGAAAGGGUUCUAGCCACGGAGGCUCCAGACCCACUACUGUCUCAUCCCACGGAGACGUCCGCGCUGGUGCACGUCUCAGUUCCUCUGGGCUUCCGACUGAUUUAUUAUUCCACGCUGUCUUCACAUGACAGAUGCCUUUUUAGCAGCACCAGCCAUUCUGCUGACAUCAUAGUCUAUUGUUAUGGCAAUUCUGUGAUGUCACGACAGACAGGAAGGGAGAGACUAAUCGAAUUUGUUGGGUUGAGGACAGAAUUUGGUCAGGAAACUAUGCACUUGGUGGACGGAAAAGCAAACAGACCACAUUAUUAUUUAACCCAUGAGGAGACCAGCUGGUCGGAGGUCACUGGCGUCAACAGCUGCUGCUAUUUAAACAGCUAAUCUUAAAUCCAAAAGUCCUACUGUGGUUAUGAAGGCUGGACCUCUCCUGAGGCCCACUGAGGUCCCUGCCCGUGCACUCUCCUGAGAAUCUGCUGACAGAGAAUAAGCCCUGGCCGGCUCCUCUUCUAAAGAUGCCUUGGCUUCGGGCACCGCAGCUCAUUAGGUGGAGAGAGGACUGUGAGUUCCAACAUCCUGACAUGCCUGACUUCGGAGAUGCCCCAGCCAUUUCUAACAGAAAAUGGACUUUCCUACCAGGCUCUCCCCGCCAAGACAUGGCUUUUCCUACCCGCUGCUGCCACGGAGACGAGGCCAGAGGCCAGGCCCUGGAAGCCCCUCUAGGUGCGUGGGUGGGAAGAAGGCCCUGAACAGCGCUACCUCUCCUGCUGCUACCUGCAGACCGAGCACCAGCUCUGCGGGUGUUGGGGAGUUCUGGUGUCUCCCACUCAGCCCCUGUGACUCUCUCCUCUGUCCUUGCGCC